UUCCAGGAGGAGUGGAGAAAGAGACAAGAAGAGAGGUCCAGGAAGCAUUGGGAGAAGUGAGCUGGAAAAAGAAAUGACUAAAAAAAAUAUCCCAGGACUUACGAGAAGUAGUUGGGCAUAGAGGCUUAUGCCUGUGACCUCUGCACUUCGGGGACUGAAGCUCCAGGCCAUGAAUGAUGAACCUGCAGGAAGCAAUCAGUGAGCCUGGGGUGGCCAUGGAGGGGCCAAAGACAUAUACUUCUGCAAAGAAAGCCAAGGAAAAAAAGAACUUUGCUUCAUGGCCGCCUCUCUUGCCUGAGUGUCAGCUGUUUGACAUCUUUCCACUCCUCCGAGCAACACAGAAGAACAUGGCUCUCUCAGAAGACGAACCGGGCAUCCUCCCAAAACUGUCACAAAAUGGCACAUCCUGCAGUAUUUACUGAUCCCCUGGGAAAUGCUAACCAGAAAUUGGGUUUGCUUCUUGACUUGUGUCUUCACAGUUGAAAACCUUCUAAAAUGGACCUGUCGCUUUGCCACACACAGACCAGGAAAACCCUAAGGGGCAAGAACUUGGAAAGAUUUCGGAUCUUUAUGAAGCACUCUGACUCAAAUUCCGACUUGAUUUCUGGAGAGACGAAGGCUGGGAGUCACUGAGUUCUCACUGACCUCUGAGCUUUGUGUGUGAUCUCAGGGGGACAUCGUUUGUGGCACAUCCCAGUGUGUACAUCUACGGCUCAUUUCCCAUUUAUAGCUGACAUGUGAACGUCAGCUACUGGGCUGGCAGUUGCCGGAAGUGUGGCACAUUUUAAAAAACACGGAGACACAGCUGCUAAAGUCACUGUUGUGUCCCUAAAAACUGAAAUGGAGUGCUCAAUGCACUGGAAGGAAGAAAACAUCAUCCUAACAGCCAUGGCCUCUCCAGGAGCCCCCAGAUCUCUGGUUCUUGUUUUGAGCAUUAGCUCUUUCCAUUAGCCAGUGUAGGCAGCCCUGACUCUAUGAUUGGGAGAAGCAACACAAAGUGAAAAUAGAGAUCUUCUGUGUGAAAGUUCCUUUGAGGUGGGAACAUUGAAGCAAGUGAGAGGUCUUUUUGAGUGUGGAGCCCCGUGCUUCUGAAGGAGUCUGACCCACGAAGAUAGCUCGGUGUGUAGGAGCUGGGAUGAAAUUUUACGGACCCUGAUACCUUUCAAGAAAUAGCUUUAUUUUUCUUCAGAAACCCUAAGAAUAAUCCUUUUAUAUACUUAUUUUCUUUCCCAGAUGUACUGCCCAGAUGUGAUUGCUACGAUGAAAUACUGGAGUUAUAAUGAAAUACCGGAAACACACUCCUUAUAAAGGAAAAGAGAUUUAUUUAGCACCCAGUUUUGGAGCUCCAAGGGCAUGGCCCUCUAUAAUAUGUUCUGGUGAGGGUCUUUUUGGCUGUGUCACAAGACUGCAGAUAGUAAUAGUGAGCUGCAUUGCUAAACAAAGAGUUAGAGAGAGUAGGACCCCACUCUGGCUCUUUAUCACAAUCCUCCCCAGAGAAUUAACUUGCAAGAAAUACUUGUAUUCCUUUCGAGGGCAUACUACCAAUAGACCAAUGGAUCUCCCAUGAAGCAAUAUCUCUUCAAGGUCUACCCAGCAUCAUCACACUGGGAGUCAAUAUUUCAAUUCAUGGACCCUUGGUAGACAAACCAGUUCCUAACCAUAAUACUAUGAAAGAGAAAACAGCAUAAUAAGGAAGCAGGCAUAUUUGAUAUGACCUCCAUUAGUCCCAGGGUUUUUUUUUGUUUUGUUUUGUUUUGUUUUGUUUUGUUUGUUUGUUUUUUGUUUUUCGAGACAGGGUUUCUUUGUAUAGACCUGGCUGUCCUGGAACUCACUCUGUAGACCAGGUUGGCCUCGAACUCAGAAAUCUGCCUGCCUCUGCCUCCCGAGUGCUGGUAUUAAAGGCGUGUGCCACCAUGCCCGGCUAGCCCCAGUUUUUAUCCCCUUGAAUAUAACUGGUCCUGGGAAUGGCCCUCAGCGGUACCUUCUGGAGAUACUGAAGCAUGCUUCCCCAUCCACGAGUGCUGGAUAGGCUAUUAAGACUCAGUAGUGGGGCUGGAGAGAUGGCUUAGCAGUUAAGAGCACCGGCUGCUCUUCCAGAGGUUUUGAGUUCAAUUCCCAGCAACCACAUGGUGGUUCACAACCAUCUGCAAUGGGAUCCGAUGUCCUCUUCUGUUGUUUAUGAAGAGAGCAACAGUGUACUCAUACAAAAUAAAAAUAAAAAUAAAAAUAAAAAGUUCAUUAGAAGCACUGGGGGUGCAUAUCUUUAAUUUCAGCACUCAGGAGGCAGAGGCAGGCAGAUCUCUGUGAGUUUGAGGCCAGCUUGGUCUAUAAAGUAAGUUCCAAGGCAGCUAGGGCUGUACAUAGAAACCCUGUCUAGAAAAACAGACAGACAGACAGACAGACAACUCAAUAGAAUGGCAGUGGACUUGACAGAAACCCUCCCCUCACGAUGUCUGCCUGAGCUUCUUGUGCUUCUGUUCCUUACUGUGAGAAUGUCCUGUGUCGCUGCAGGUUCAAGGAAAACUGGAGAAAUAAACCCAGAGUAGACUCAACCCCGAAGGGGAACCCAGAAUAGAGCUCUCCCUGCCGACCUGCAGAUCUCAGCGGGGGAAAAGGUGAUACCGUUGUGAGCCACUGAGCCAUUUCUCACACAGCGUGCUCAAAAUAGAAACCCGGUGGAGAAGGUAUCCUUCCCAGGCAGAGGCUGAGAAAUGAGAAGAGAUGUUAGAAAAAGGCCAAUUAAUGCUAAGUAUCGAUGGUCGGUCCCCAUGUUCAAAUCCAGCCAACAGUUAUUAAAUAAGUUCACCACUAAGCUUCCUAAUUAGAAUCCAAACUGGAAUCUAGUCUGCUGUGUCUCAAAGUCCUUUCCGCAAUGGGCAGAGAACUUUGGAGCCUGCGUUUGUUAAGCUAUGACUGUAUGUUAGUGUCUGGGUAAAACACUGUCUUAUGUUUUAUUUCAAACAGUCCUUUCCAUAAUUCUGUGCUUUCAUUUCCUAACAGUAUCCCCACUUUUCGUCAUAGGAACGGAAACCCAGAGUGGGUAAGUAACUGUCAGAAGCAGUAGAGGCUGAUGACACCCCAGGCUCACACUGAAAAGCCACACCUUUUGGCCCAGUUUGUAAAAUGCUUGCCCUACAAGCAUAAGGGCCUGCUCUCAUCAAAAGCCAUGUGUGGGGUUGUAUCUAAAAUCCAAUUGCCAGGGAGGCAGAGGCAGGGGGAUCUCUGGAGCAUUCUAGCUAACUCCUCUUGACAAAACAAAGUUCCAGACCCAGUGAGAGGCCCUGUCUUAAAAAAAAAAAAGCUGAACAGAGGAAGCAGAUGUCUGAUACUGACCUCUGACCUCACAGGCACACAUAACUGUACAGGAUAUUACACACAUGAAAGAAAGACGAGUAUAGGAUGAGAAGGAAGAGGAAGGCAGGCAAAUGGGAGGGGCAUAGCUUACCCCUGAACUUGACCACAGCGACUUCUGAUCUUGGUCAUCAGCUUAAAAAUAUCCAUGUGACCCGGUGAGCUGGCUUGGCAGGAGGGACACUUGCUGCUGAGUCUGACAACCUGAGUGAGUUUGGUCUUUGGGAUGCGUGUGGUGGAAAGAGAGAACCAACUCCUUCAAGUUGUCUUCUGACCUCCACAUCCUUGUAAGUGUACAUGCAAGCCUGUGAAUUACAUUAUUAUUACAAUUCUGUGUAUAUUAAUUAACACUGAAAAUUAAUACAGUGGCAAUUAUUCCUUAACCAGUUUCCCCCCCAAAUAACCACACAAAAAC
rnacentral:lncRNA from 1 species